UAGUCCACGCCGUAAACGAUGUCUACUAGCCGUUGGGAGACUUGAUUUCUUAGUGGCGCAGCUAACGCACUAAGUAGACCGCCUGGGGAGUACGCUCGCAAGGGUGAAACUCAAAGGAAUUGACGGGGGCCCGCACAAGCGGUGGAGCAUGUGGUUUAAUUCGAUGCAACGCGAAGAACCUUACCUGGGCUUGACAUGUAGACGACAGGUGUAGAGAUACACCCUCCUUCGGGCGUCUAUACAGGUGCUGCAUGGCUGUCGUCAGCUCGUGUCGUGAAAUGUUGGGUUAAGUCCCGCAGCGAGCGCAACCCUUGUCCUUAGUUGCCAGCACGUAAUGGUGGGAACUCUAGGGAGACUGCCGGGUGAUAAACCGGAGGAAGGGUGGGGACGGCGUCAAGUCAUCAUGGGCCCUUACGUCCAGGGGCUACACACGUGCUACAAUGGGCGCAUACAAAGGGGUCGCGAACCCGCGAGGGGGAGCUAAUCCCAUAAAGUGCGCCUCAGUUCGGGAUUGCA
rnacentral:rRNA from 1 species